AGAAGCUGAAGUGAAAGUGUGAAAGUGUGAAAUUCAGAAACUUUGAAGUGUGGAAGUUUAACAUUUUUUUGAGGUGUUGAAGUCUUGAAGAGCAUAAGAAGGAAGAGGACAAGAGGUUUUUCAUUAUUUUUGGGCAUUGCUUCUCUAUUAUACUUGUGCUGAUCUUGUGACUUUUGUCUACAAGUGUCUACAGCGACUACCGAACGAGCAUUCUCAGCUAUGAAAAUUGUUAAAACAAGACUUCGCAACAAAAUGGAAGAUGAAUUUCUUGCAAAUAGUUUAGUUGUGUAUAUUGAAAGGGAAAUUGCUGAGAGCUUCAAUUUAGAUUCGAUACUUGAUGAUUUUGUUUCUCUAAAAAGACGUA